GGUUAAGCGACUAAGCGUACACGGUGGAUGCCCUGGCAGUCAGAGGCGAUGAAGGACGUGCUAAUCUGCGAUAAGCGCCGGUAAGGUGAUAUGAACCGUUAUAACCGGCGAUUUCCGAAUGGGGAAACCCAGUGUGAUUCGUCACACUAUCAUUAACUGAAUCCA
rnacentral:rRNA from 2 species